GAAUUUAGCAGAGAUGCUUUAGUGCCUUCGGGAACUCUGAGACAGGUGCUGCAUGGCUGUCGUCAGCUCGUGUUGUGAAAUGUUGGGUUAAGUCCCGNAACGAGCGCAACCCUUAUCCUUUGUUGCCAGCACGUAAUGGUGGGAAACUCAAAGGAGACUGCCGGUGAUAAACCGGAGGAAGGUGGGGAUGACGUCAAGUCAUCAUGGCCCUUACGAGUAGGGCUACACACGUGCUACAAUGGCGCAUACAAAGAGAAGCGACCUCGCGAGAGCAAGCGGACCUCAUAAAGUGCGUCGUAGUCCGGAUUGGAGUCUGCAACUCGACUCCAUGAAGUCGGAAUCGCUAGUAAUCGUAAAUCAGAAUGUUACGGUGAAUACGUUCCCGGGCCUUGUACACACCGCCCGUCACACCAUGGGAGUGGGUUGCAAAAGAAGUAGAUAGCUUAACCUUCGGGAGGGCGUUUACCACUUUGUGAUUCAUGACUGGGGUGAAGUCGUAACAAGGUAGGCGUAGUGCU
rnacentral:rRNA from 1 species